UUCAUCAUAUUAAUAUGGUACGUGAGUUGGGUUA
rnacentral:rRNA from 1 species